AGCAUUUUUGGUGUAUUUUACCGAGGUGGGCACCGCCGAUUUUCAGCAAACAUGAUUUUUGCCGAGAUCUUAGUAAAAAUGACGUUUCAGUUGCUGACAUACGGUAAAUAUUUUGCCGAAAAUCAGUAAUAAACCAAUUUUUCUGCCGAAUUUCAGUUCUGAAAUUUACUGAGGUACAGCGGUGCCCGAUUAUGUAGAGCUCGAAAAAGAAAAACUGAGUGUGAAAAGAAUCAUGCAACCAAUACAAAUAAGUUUAACCAUCAGGAACUCGCACCGUUGUAAAAAGUUGAACAGAUUCAUUCACAAGAGAGGUGAGAUUGUGUGAUUUAUCCAGGGCCAAGCGAAUCCCAGUAGGGUUUAUCAAAUUUUAAAAUUUUGACUUAAGCACAUUUUUGAAUAAAAACAAGGAUUUAACAAAUUUUGUCCCGCGCUGGCACAAAAUAUAUCUGGUCACAUUACCUAUUUUGCAAACGCCCACAUAAAUUACAUGUUGAAUUAAUCCUAAAAUUAAAUUGAGGGAAAUCGCGAUUUUCGCGAGAGUGUAAUUAUAAAUCCGCGAUUUUCGCGACAAUAUUUGACGGAACCGCGAUUUUCGCGACUGGAAGGGUAAAUCCGCGACAAAUCCGCGAAAUUCGCGAAAAACGCGAAAUCCGCGACUGUUGUAACAGCCCUGGAGCAGCGAUUGAUUUGGAGCGAGAGAUCUAUGGAUGCUGUGAGAUGAUCGUGGGCAGAGGGUUACUGAUGUCGAUUUAUGGUAUCUUAAGGUAGGUUGCGCCGAGGCCGUUGGAAGUGUGCAGAUUACAAACUUUCAAGCCCAUUUCCUCAGCUUGAUCAAAAUGUUACGCCGAUUUGAAAAAGUACCCGCACUGAGAAACCAAACUAUCCAAAAUCGAGUUUAAAAGUGCUCAAAAUCAAGUAUUUUGCGAACACAUCCCUUUUGGAUAUUUUUAUGUUUACAUUGAUGGGUAUUUAUAACCUCGUUUGAAGGUUAUUUCUAACAACUCCCUUCUGAGUAGUUUCGAAUCUAUGAAAAUACCCAAGCCAGAGUGUUGGCCUUUUACUUCAUUUUGGCUGAAAAAAUACUUCAGUUAUAGAAGCGUUUUUGAGUGAUUCCGGAAAAAUUUAUUGUUAAAGAAAAUAGGUGGGAAAACUUCGGAAAAUCUGACCGAUUUUACGGUAAACCUUCAUCACAACGAAUUUGGGUGAGAACAUCAGAGAAGGAGCUUUCCGUGAAAUCUACCGACAAUGAAUCUCGCUAAAGCUGAAUAUUCUGGAUCAUCGGAUUAUUGUUAAUUAAUACAAGAUCCAGCCAUCUUCAAGUUCGGAUCCUGUGGGGUUGUCGUCCAUACGUGAUCAAUAGAACAUCGUCCCAACUAUGCCACCAUCAGCAACGGACAUCAUUCAUCCAACAGAAACAGCAGCGAGCGGGACUGCAAUAUGAUACGUCGGUGCCGGUUGUUCGAAUUCGAAAAUAUUUAUUAUUCUAAUAGAAUGCCACCGCAAGUAACUGUCCCAUAUUGAUAUGAAUUUUAUAUCAAUAUGGGGCAAUUAUACUUGCAACGGCAGUAAAGUAGGAUUGAAAAUGUAUGAAUCAAAGGAAAUAAAAUUAUAAUUUAUUCGCACCAUUCAUUCAUAAGCACUAUUUAAUUAGGGUCUCGCCGACAUUUCUCACCAACACGAUCGCAGGUUCGUGGUUGCAAACAAUCCCAUUUGAUUUUGCCGUGACAGCUGCUCGUGGUUGCAAACAAACCGAGUAAAAGUGUGAGUGAAACGUGCGUGUACGUACACGAUCGCUGAAAGCCUAAUGAAGACAAAAAACUAAUUUUAAAGAAUUUUCGUGAAAAAUCGUUACUCAAUCCUGGGUAUUUUUCAUCCAAACCAAAGUCUUCCUAAUACAGUAAUUUUCACUCAAAAGUAGGUCUUCUGAAACUACUUAGAAUUAAGUACUUCACGAAAAACUCAAUUUUGAGUGGUUGCACUUAGCUGUCAAGUAAAAGAUAUUUUAGUUACUACACUAAUAAAAUUUCAAUCAUAAAAUGUAUUUGUUUGAAAACUAUAACUUUUAUUAAGUACACAUAACUGGUAUGUUUGCCGUUCUGAAUGGAAUUAAGAAAAUUGAAGAAAUUGUGGCCGCAUAACUUUUUAUUGCUACGAUUUUGUAAUUUGUGUAAUUAUAUUUUGUUUCUUAAAGUGGAUGAAUAUUUUCUUCCAUAGCAAUUGUGAGAUGCGAUGAACUUCAUGGAAAUCGAUCUAAACAUGCAAACGCAGAUGAUGGAAAAGGGAGCUGUGCUCGUGCCCAAUGAUUUGCCAGGAUGGGUUGAAAUCGGUUGAACCUUUGAUUUGUGCUGCGGUGCCGGAUCAAUCAAUUCACCGGCGUAGAAAGAGUCAUCUUUUAAAUUUUAGAAUAAUGUGUCAGAACGCUCAGUGUGAUAGACGGAAAUGAUAAAAUAUUAAAUAACUUCCCAUUUCUCCGAUUUUGUAAUUAUAUUUCGUUCCUUAAAUUUUCCUUCCAGGAACCGCAGGAACUGCAACGAACUUCAAGGAUGCGAUCUAAACAUACAAACACAGAUGAUAGAAAAUUAGGAUGCUGUGCUCGUGCCCAGGAUGGAUUGAAAUCGGUUGAUUUUUACCGGUGCCGGAUCAAUCAAUUAUUCACCGGUGCAGAAAAAAGCAUCUUCUAAGCAUGGAAUGUGGCUGAGCUCACAGUGUUUUUAUUUUCAAUUGUUCGAAUGAAUUUUAUUUUCUUGGUGCUAGAAUGAGCAAUGAGGUGGGAUUUUAGGAUUUUCGUCAAUAAAAAAAUUAGACUAAAUUAUUGUUUUUAAUUUCAAUAUAUUAUUGUGAAGUUAUGAAAAACCCACAUAAACAUUAUGAGCCAUUGGAGAAUAAAAGUUAUAAACUCCACACAUAAAUUUUAUUUGAAUUAAGACCAAUAAAUG